rnacentral:rRNA from 1 species
GUGGGGAAUAUUGGACAAUGGGCGAAAGCCUGAUCCAGCCAUGCCGCGUGUGUGAAGAAGGUCUUCGGAUUGUAAAGCACUUUAAGUUGGGAGGAAGGGCAGUAAGUUAAUACCUUGCUGUUUUGACGUUACCGACAGAAUAAGCACCGGCUAACUUCGUGCCAGCAGCCGCGGUAAUACGAAGGGUGCAAGCGUUAAUCGGAAUUACUGGGCGUAAAGCGCGCGUAGGUGGUUUUGUAAGUUGGAGGUGAAAUCCCCGGGCUCAACCUGGGAACUGCCUCCAAAACUGCAUGACUAGAGUACGGUAGAGGGUAGUGGAAUUUCCUGUGUAGCGGUGAAAUGCGUAGAUAUAGGAAGGAACACCAGUGGCGAAGGCGACUACCUGGACUGAUACUGACACUGAGGUGCGAAAGCGUGGGGAGCAAACAGGAUUAGAUACCGAGUAGUCC